rnacentral:rRNA from 1 species
CCUACGGGAGGCAGCAGUGGGGAAUAUUGCACAAUGGGGGAAACCCUGAUGCAGCGACGCCGCGUGAGUGAGGAAGUAUUUCGGUAUGUAAAGCUCUAUCAGCAGGGAAGAAAAUGACGGUACCUGACUAAGAAGCCCCGGCUAACUACGUGCCAGCAGCCGCGGUAAUACGUAGGGGGCAAGCGUUAUCCGGAUUUACUGGGUGUAAAGGGAGCGUAGACGGCUAAUCAAGUCAGAAGUGAAAACGCAGGGCUCAACUUUGGGACUGCUUUUGAAACUGAGUAGCUAGAGUGCAGGAGAGGUAAGCGGAAUUCCUAGUGUAGCGGUGAAAUGCGUAGAUAUUAGGAGGAACACCAGUGGCGAAGGCGGCUUACUGGACUGUAACUGACGUUGAGGCUCGAAAGCGUGGGGAGCAAACAGGAUUAGAUACCCCUGUAGUC